AUUGAACGCUGGCGGCGUGCUUAACACAUGCAAGUCGAACGAAGUGGCGAACGGGUGAGUAACGCGUAAUCAACCUGCCCUUCAGAGGGGGACAACAGUUGGAAACGAGUGCUAAUACCGCAUACGGAAGGAGGGGAUUGCGUCUGAAUAGCUAGUUGGAGGGGUAACGGCCCACCAGGGCGAUGAUCAGUAGCCGGUCUGAGAGGAUGAACGGCCACAUUGGGACUGAGACACGGCCCAGACGCCUACGGGAGGCAGCAGUGGGGAAUAUUGCGCCAUGGGGGCAAGCCUGACGCAGCCAUGCCGCGUGAAUGAAGAAGGCCUUCGGGUUGUAAAGUUCUUUCGGUAGCGAGGCGUUAACCACAGAAGAAGCACCGGCUAACUCCGUGCCAGCAGCCGCGGUAAUAC
rnacentral:rRNA from 1 species